rnacentral:rRNA from 1 species
GCACGUUGAAAGUGCGGGGAUGAGGUGUGGGUAGCGGAGAAAUUCCAAUCGAACCUGGAGAUAGCUGGUUCUCCCCGAAAUAGCUUUAGGGCUAGCCUUAAGUGUAAGAGUCUUGGAGGUAGAGCACUGAUUGGACUAGGGGUCCUCAUCGGAUUACCGAAUUCAGUCAAACUCCGAAUGCCAAUGACUUAUCCUUAGGAGUCAGACUGCGAGUGAUAAGAUCCGUAGUCAAAAGGGAAACAGCCCAGACCGCCAGCUAAGGUCCCAAAGUGUGUAUUAAGUGGAAAAGGAUGUGGAGUUGCUUAGACAACUAGGAUGUUGGCUUAGAAGCAGCCACCAUUUAAAGAGUGCGUAAUAGCUCACUAGUCGAGUGACUCUGCGCCGAAAAUGUACCGGGGCUAAAUACACCACCGAAGCUGCGGAUUGAUACCAAUGGUAUCAGUGGUAGGGGAGCGUUCUAAGGACAGUGAAGUCAGACCGGAAGGACUGGUGGAGUGCUUAGAAGUGAGAAUGCCGGUAUGAGUAGCGAAAGACGGGUGAGAAUCCCGUCCACCGAAUGCCUAAGGUUUCCUGAGGAAGGCUCGUCCGCUCAGGGUUAGUCAGGACCUAAGCCGAGGCCGACAGGCGUAGGCGAUGGACAACAGGUUGAUAUUCCUGUACCACCUCUUUAUCGUUUGAGCAAUGGAGGGACGCAGAAGGAUAGAAGAAGCGUGCGAUUGGUUGUGCACGUCCAAGCAGUUAGGCUGAUAAGUAGGCAAAUCCGCUUAUCGUGAAGGCUGAGCUGUGAUGGGGAAGCUCCUUAUGGAGCGAAGUCUUUGAUUCCCCGCUGCCAAGAAAAGCUUCUAGCGAGAUAAAAGGUGCCUGUACCGCAAACCGACACAGGUAGGCGAGGAGAGAAUCCUAAGGUGUGCGAGAGAACUCUGGUUAAGGAACUCGGCAAAAUGACCCCGUAACUUCGGGAGAAGGGGUGCUUUCUUAACGGAAAGCCGCAGUGAAUAGGCCCAAGCGACUGUUUAGCAAAAACACAGCUCUCUGCGAAGCCGUAAGGCGAAGUAUAGGGGGUGACACCUGCCCGGUGCUGGAAGGUUAAGGAGAGGGGUUAGCGUAAGCGAAGCUCUGAACUGAAGCCCCAGUAAACGGCGGCCGUAACUAUAACGGUCCUAAGGUAGCGAAAUUCCUUGUCGGGUAAGUUCCGACCCGCACGAAAGGUGUAACGAUUUGGGCACUGUCUCAACCAGAGACUCGGUGAAAUUAUAGUACCUGUGAAGAUGCAGGUUACCCGCGACAGGACGGAAAGACCCCGUGGAGCUUUACUGUAGCCUGAUAUUGAAUUUUGGUACAGUUUGUACAGGAUAGGCGGGAGCCUUUGAAACCGGAGCGCUAGCUUCGGUGGAGGCGCUGGUGGGAUACCGCCCUGACUGUAUUGAAAUUCUAACCUACGGGUCUUAUCGACCCGGGAGACAGUGUCAGGUGGGCAGUUUGACUGGGGCGGUCGCCUCCUAAAGUGUAACGGAGGCGCCCAAAGGUUCCCUCAGAAUGGUUGGAAAUCAUUCGUAGAGUGCAAAGGCAUAAGGGAGCUUGACUGCGAGACCUACAAGUCGAGCAGGGACGAAAGUCGGGCUUAGUGAUCCGGUGGUUCCGCAUGGAAGGGCCAUCGCUCAACGGAUAAAAGCUACCCCGGGGAUAACAGGCUUAUCUCCCCCAAGAGUCCACAUCGACGGGGAGGUUUGGCACCUCGAUGUCGGCUCAUCGCAUCCUGGGGCUGUAGUCGGUCCCAAGGGUUGGGCUGUUCGCCCAUUAAAGCGGUACGCGAGCUGGGUUCAGAACGUCGUGAGACAGUUCGGUCCCUAUCCGUCGUGGGCGUAGGAAUUUUGAGAGGAGCUGUCCUUAGUACGAGAGGACCGGGAUGGACGCACCGCUGGUGUACCAGUUGUUCUGCCAAGGGCAUAGCUGGGUAGCUAUGUGCGGAAGGGAUAAGUGCUGAAAGCAUCUAAGCAUGAAGCCCCCCUCAAGAUGAGAUUUCCCAUAGCGUAAGCUAGUAAGAUCCCUGAAAGAUGAUCAGGUUGAUAGGUUCGAGGUGGAAGCAUGGUGACAUGUGGAGCUGACGAAUACUAAUAGAUCGAGGACUUAACCAU